rnacentral:lncRNA from 1 species
UGUGGCUGGACGGCGGAUGAGGCUUCUUUCAACAAGGCGAGUUUCAGUGAGAAAUGCGUGAUGCUUUUGAUGUUUCAACAGAAUAUUGUUUCUAAGAUUAUGUAUCUUGCACGUUUGGCACUUGAGGGGGUGCUCAUCUUUUGAUUCCGCUAUUGAGGUAGAGGCGGGACGGGGGAAGCAGCUUUCAGUAAGACCCGCCCGCUCUUGCCCUGUCAGUUUACCAUUGCCAUGGCAACACCCGGAAGUUGCCGCCCCCUUUCCAUGGCAACACCCUGAUGGCCGAAAGUUACUACCCUUAUUCCAGAAAUCUCUGCAUAAUCUGUCGGUUUGCAUAUAAUUAACAGUGGCUAUAAAUGUGAGUGCAGCCCUGUCCUGUCCUCAGCUGCUGCCCUGGGCGCACUGCCUUGCGGGUCACUGUGGCUGCUCCUGUGCUUCAGCGGGACUAGAAGCUGCCGCCCACGGGCAGCGGGGAAGAAAUCUGGGCAAAGCCAUGAGCCCUCCGAGGCUGAGCUCCAGUUUAGGGGCUCACCUGCCUUGCAUCGUUCCGAGUCCUGUACUGGACUGCAUCAGGCCGCGUCUCCUCAGGGUGACAGAAACCAGGCAGUGAUUCAACUCGUAUUUGACUUUCACAUUCUCCAGCAAUGUUCUUCAAUCUGGGAAGGGUAGAAAAUUAAAGAAAGGUAAGGAGAGUUAAAAAAUGAGAUCAUUUCAAAGUAGAUGCAGUCUUGAAGCCCAAAUGAAUUACGAGAUCCAGUUUGAAAGCUGCUGCAGAAGUGAUUUCAGAAUCGCGCGGUGGCUCCGGAAUGGGGAACUGCUGCUGAAAGAGGUCGGAAAGGGUGGGGACUGAAUUUCGGGUAAGAGGACGCCAGUGGUUCUGGAGCACGCGGCCUUCAGCCAUGCCUGCGUUCACAAGUACAUUAUUUCAGACUCACUCCAAGUUUACAUCUCUAAGCCCAUCCAAGCCAUGGCAGCGCGAACCUCUCCCUCCCCCAGCUCAAGGCCUCUGGGCCCCCAGGACAGAGGACAGAAGAGCCAGCCCCUCCUGGCUCAGGGUUGCCGGGACCCCGUGAUGGCUGCUGUGCCUCUCCUGAGGUGCCAGGUGAGAGCUGAGACUUCUGCUCCCGCUGCACCAGCUCCGUUUGUCUCCAGGCGCAGUGUCAGUCUCGUUCUUUAAGCGCUUCUGAGGUCCCAUCAGCACAGGUCUCGUCUUACCUGGAAAGGCUUGUUGCCUUGUGC